rnacentral:lncRNA from 1 species
UCUCCUUAUCCUUGCUUGGUUCACCUUUGAAGGUCUUCUUUUUAAAACCUUGCUUCUUCUUCCUCAUGAAACUCUUAAACUUUCUUGUGAUCAAGGCCAAGUCUUCUUCUUCUUCUUCAUCUUCCUCAUCAGACUCAUCACUUUCAUCAUCCUUGGGGUAGUUCUUUUGAGUGCGAUAGUCUUUUUCUUCUUGGUUUCUUCUUCCACAUUUUGUCUCAUGGUUAACUCAUGAGUCAUUAGAGAUCCAUGGAGUUCUUCUAGUGGCAGUUUAUUGAUAUCCUUGGCUUCUUGUA